AACGAACGCUGGCGGCAUGCCUAACACAUGCAAGUCGAACGAGACCUUCGGGUCUUGUGGCGCACGGGUGCGUCACGCGUGGGAACCUUCCCUUAGGUUCGGCCUAACUCUCCGACAGGGGUGCUAAUACCGGUUAAUGUCUUCGGCCCAAAGAUUUAUCGCCGUUGGAUGGGCCCGCGUUGGAUUAGCUGGUUGUUAGGGUAAAAGCAUACUACGGCGCCAAUCCAUAGCUGGUCUGAGAGGAUGAUCAGCCACACUGGGACUGAGACACGGCCCAGACUCUUACGGGAGGCAGCAGUGGGGAAUAUUGGACAGUGGGCGAAAGCCUGAUCCAGCAAGGCCGCGUGAGUGAUGAAGGCAUUAAGGUUGUAAAGCUCUUUUACCCGGGAUGAUAAUGACAGUACCGGGAGAAAAAGCUCCGGCUAACUACGUG
rnacentral:rRNA from 1 species